UACAGAGGGUGCAAGCGUUGUUCGGAAUUACUGGGCGUAAAGCGCGUGUAGGUGGCGAUGUAAGUCGGGUGUGAAAUCCCUCGGCUCAACCGAGGAAGUGCACUCGAUACUGUGUCGCUUGAGUGUUGGAGGGGAUGGCGGAAUUCCCGGUGUAGAGGUGAAAUUCGUAGAUAUCAGGAAGAACACCGGUGGCGAAGGCGGCUCGCUGGGCCAGUUCUGACACUCAUCCGCGAAAGCGUGGGGAGCAAACAGG
rnacentral:rRNA from 1 species